rnacentral:rRNA from 1 species
UACAGAGGGGGCAAGCGUUAUUCGGAAUUAUUGGGCGUAAAGGGCGCGUAGGCGGCCAUUCAAGUGACGGGUGAAAGCCCUCGGCUUAACCGAGGAACUGCCUGUCAGACUGGUUGGCUUGAGACCGGGAGAGGUGAGUGGAAUUCCCAGUGUAGCGGUGAAAUGCGUAGAUAUUGGGAGGAACACCAGUGGCGAAGGCGGCUCGCUGGACCGGUUCUGACGCUGAUGCGCGAAAGCGUGGGGAGCAAACGGG